rnacentral:rRNA from 1 species
UACGUAGGAGGCAAGCGUUGUCCGGAAUCAUUGGGCGUAAAGCGCGUGUAGGCGGCCUUGUAAGUCCGUUCUGAAAGCCCGGGGCUCAACCCCGGGAGGCGGAUGGAUACUGCAAGGCUCGAGUCCGGAAGAGGCGAGUGGAAUUCCCGGUGUAGCGGUGAAAUGCGCAGAUAUCGGGAGGAACACCAAUGGCGAAGGCAGCUCGCUGGGACGGUACUGACGCUGAGACGCGAAAGCGUGGGGAGCAAACAGG